rnacentral:rRNA from 1 species
GACGUAGGGCGCGAGCGUUGUCCGGAUUUAUUGGGCGUAAAGAGCUCGUAGGCGGCUUGUUGCGUCGGCUGUGAAAACCCGUGGCUUAACUGCGGGCUUGCAGCUGAUACGGGCGGGCUGGAGUUCGGUAGGGGAGACUGGAAUUUACGGUGUAGCGGUGAAAUGCGUAGAUAUCGUAAGGAAGACCAGUGGCGAAGGCGGGUCUCUGGACAGUUCCUGACGCUGAGGCACGAAGGUCAGGGGGAGCAAACGGGG